AACGAACGCUGGCGGCAGGCUUAACACAUGCAAGUCGAACGCACCGCAAGGUGAGUGGCAGACGGGUGAGUAACACGUGGGGAUCUGCCCAAUGGUACGGAAUAGCUCCGGGAAACUGGAAUUAAUACCGUAUGUGCCCUUCGGGGGAAAGAUUUAUCGCCAUUGGAUGAACCCGCGUCGGAUUAGCUAGUUGGUGGGGUAAAGGCCCACCAAGGCGACGAUCCGUAGCUGGUCUGAGAGGAUGAUCAGCCACACUGGGACUGAGACACGGCCCAGACUCCUACGGGAGGCAGCAGUGGGGAAUAUUGGACAAUGGGCGCAAGCCUGAUCCAGCCAUGCCGCGUGAGUGAUGAAGGCCUUAGGGUUGUAAAGCUCUUUCGCCGACGAAGAUAAUGACGGUAGUCGGAGAAGAAGCCCCGGCUAACUUCGUGCCAGCCGCCGCCGUAAAAC
rnacentral:rRNA from 1 species